rnacentral:tRNA from 1 species
GAGGGUAUAGCUCGGUUGUAGAGCACAUGCUUAGCAAGCACAAGGGCCUGGGUUCAAUCCCCAGUACCUCCA